rnacentral:lncRNA from 1 species
UGAAUGUUGUUAAGGAGAGUAUAAGUGGUAAGGAAGUAUACAUUUGCCGCCUUCACUUUCUUAGCAUCUAUUCUCUCCUUAUCAACUUUGAGAGUCAGAGAGGUAGUUGGGGGGUUUUGUUUGUAACCCAACUGUUCACCUUCUUCCUGCCACCCACUGAUACUCUCCUCUGGUAUAUAUUUGGGAAGGAGGGGGAUUUGCGUCUCCACCUGGUGGUUGCCCCUUGGAGUAAUUCCAGUUGAGAAGCUUUGGAACAGCCAAAGCUUCUCUACUCCUACA